rnacentral:lncRNA from 1 species
UUUUAGUUUAUCUAGUUUUGAGUACUUUGUUGGGUGUGACUUAGCCCACAGCAGAAGCAUCUUGUGCUAACAGUGUUUUCUUUUGUUCGUGCAGCGGAGCUGAUUACUAUGAUUACGGGCAUGGACUCGGUGAGGAGGCUUACGAUUCCUAUGGGCAAGAGGAAUGGACUAACUCAAGACAUAAGGCUCCUUCAGCGAGGACGGCGAAGGGUGUCUACCGAGACCAGCCAUAUGGCAGAUACUGAUUGUACUGUCUGAUGUUGUGAAAUAGCCAAUCUCCACCGUCCUGUAUACUGUUCAAAGUAAAUUUUUUCUAUGAACAAUCCCUUUUUAAAUAAAUCAAAAUGCUUAAAAUCUGAAUGGAUGGAACUUAAAACCACUUUGUUGAAGCAUCUAUUUGGCAGGGAGACGAAGGACAUGUAAAAUUUUGUUAUUUGCAGUCUGUAUAUGAAAACUAGGUCAUGAAAAGAAAAAAAAUAACUUUGAUUAACUAGUGUUAAACAUAAAGAUAGGUUUACUAAAUAUGUUAAUCCAUUCUUUUAACAUAAGCCUCACCUUUUACUUUGAAGGUUUCCAUAGAAUUUAGUUAUUUUAUCUUUCAGCC